UACGAAGGGGGCUAGCGUUGCUCGGAAUCACUGGGCGUAAAGGGCGCGUAGGCGGACUCUUAAGUCGGAGGUGAAAGCCCAGGGCUCAACCCUGGAAUUGCCUUCGAUACUGGGAGUCUUGAGUUCGGAAGAGGUUGGUGGAACUGCGAGUGUAGAGGUGAAAUUCGUAGAUAUUCGCAAGAACACCAGUGGCGAAGGCGGCUCACUGGCCCGGUACUGACGCUGAGGUGCGAAAGCGUGGGGAGCAAACAGG
rnacentral:rRNA from 1 species